UCUUAUGGAUGAGUAAAGAAAGAGGUUUCUUGAGAUGGAAACUACUUCUGAGGAAGAUGCUAUGAA
rnacentral:pre_miRNA from 1 species